AAACGAUUGAAGUCAGUCAUGCCAGUGAGAAAUCAGCUUACAGGCUACUGUGAGUGCACUUUUUCGCAAGGCAGGUUAACAUCGGUUUUUGUUGCGUCAUAAUGAUUGUAGGAAGGUGGCUCCUUCGGGAGUGUUAUAGCCUACUUUAGAUGGCGCGACGAAGACUGAGGAUUGCAGCGAAUGCCUUUGGCUACGGAUCUUUUCUCUGUCGAUCUUCGAUUGAUCGUCAGCU
rnacentral:rRNA from 1 species